rnacentral:tRNA from 1 species
GGCGUUAUAGCCAAGUGGUAAGGCAGGAGUCUGCAAAACUCCCAUUCCUCAGUUCAAAUCUGAGUAACGCCU